rnacentral:rRNA from 1 species
AUUGAACGCUGGCGGCAGGCUUAACACAUGCAAGUCGAGCGAGCGGCGGACGGGUGGGUAAUGUCUGGGCAGCUGCCUGAUGGAGGGGGAUAACUACGGGAAAAGGUAGCUAAUACCGCAUACCAUCAGAUGGGCCCAUAUGGGAUUAGCUUGUAGGUGGGGUAAUGGCUCACCUGGGCGACGAUCCCUAGCUGGUCUGAGAGGAUGACCAGCCACACUGGAACUGAGACACGGUCCAGACUCCUACGGGAGGCAGCAGUGGGGAAUAUUGCACAAUGGGCGCAAGCCUGAUGCAGCCAUGCCGGGUGUGUGAAGAAGGCCUUCGGGUUGUAAAGCACUUUCAGCGAGGAGGCGUUACUCGAAGAAGAAGCACCGGCUAACUCCGUGCCAGCAGCCGCGGUAAUUC